GUGCCAGCAGCCGCGGUAAUACGGAGGGUGCAAGCGUUAUUCGGAAUUACUGGGCGUAAAGCGUGCGCAGGCGGUUUGGAAAGAAGGAUGUGAAAUCCCGGGGCUUAACCUCGGAACUGCAUUCUUAACUGCCAGGCUAGAGUAUGUCAGAGGGGGGUAGAAUUCCACGUGUAGCAGUGAAAUGCGUAGAGAUGUGGAGGAAUACCGAUGGCGAAGGCAGCCCCCUGGGAUAAUACUGACGCUCAUGCACGAAAGCGUGGGGAGCAAACAGGAUUAGAUACCCGCGUAGUCC
rnacentral:rRNA from 1 species